rnacentral:lncRNA from 1 species
UUGGCCAACGGGAGGCCAAGAAGAGCAAGAGAACCAAGCUGUCCUGCUGAGAGUAUAUGAUCUAAUGGCAAGGAAACCAGGGACCACAUCAUUGGAGCACAGAGCCCAAGGGCAAGAGCAGCCAAGGAGUUAAGAGCUUGGGCUCUGGAGCCAGCUUGCCUGGGUUUCCUGACUCUACCAGGCACCUGGUGAUGAAGGAGGGCAGGAAAGGUGGCUGGAGGAGCCACGGUGGCAGGGCACACAAAGCAAGUGAGGAGCUUCCAGAGAGGCACCUCAUGUGGGGGAAAGGGUAGGUGGGCCACCCAGCUGCAGCCCCCUUCCUGAUCUGCAGGUACUCCAACCUCGACCUGAAGACCCAGGAGGCCUAUGAGAUGGCCGUGAGAGGCCUGAUCCGGCCCAUGAACAAGUCCCCGAUGCUGAUAACUGGCAUCCGAUGCCUCUACUUUGCACCUCCGGAAUUCCUCUUAGAGGUGCAGUGCAUGCAUGAGACGCAGAAAGAGCUGCGGAAGUUGGUUCAUGAAAUCGGCCUGGAACUAAAGACCACUGCUGUCUGCACCCAA